UACGUAGGUGGCAAGCGUUGUCCGGAUUUACUGGGCGUAAAGAGCGCGCAGGCGGUCGGAUCAGUCGAAUGGGAAAGCCCCCGGCUCAACUGGGGAGGGUCAUUCGAUACUGUCCGACUCGAAGGCAGGAGAGGGAAGCGGAAUUCCCGGUGUAGUGGUGAAAUGCGUAGAUAUCGGGAGGAACACCAGUGGCGAAGGCGGCUUUCUGGCCUGUUCUUGACGCUGAGGCGCGAAAGCUAGGGGAGCGAACGGG
rnacentral:rRNA from 1 species